rnacentral:rRNA from 1 species
AUUGAACGCUGGCGGCAGGCCUAACACAUGCAAGUCGGGCGAGCGGAGGACGGGUGAGUAAUGUAUGGGGAUCUGCCUGAUGGCGGGGGAUAACUACUGGAAACGGUAGCUAAUACCGCAUACCAUAAAGUGAACCCAUAUGGGAUUAGCUAGUAGGGAAGGUAACGGCUUACCUAGGCGACGAUCCCUAGCUGGUCGGAGAGGAUGAUGAGCCAAACUGGGCCGGAGACACGGCCAAGACUCCUACGGAAGGCAGCAUUGGGAAAUAUUGCACAUUGGGGGCAAGCCUGAUGCAGCCAGGCCGCGUGUAUGAAGAGGGACUUCGGGUUGAAAAGUACUUUCAGUCGGGAGGCGUUAACGACAGAAGAAGGAACGGCUAACUCCGUGCCAGCAGCCGCGGUAAUUC